rnacentral:tRNA from 1 species
UCUGGUGUGUCAGAUAGAAUGAGAGGUUUUGAUAGAACCUAGUAGGCGCUAGCUGCAAGGUAUUAGUGCCACCAGAG